UACGGAGGGUGCGAGCGUUGUCCGGAAUCACUGGGCGUAAAGGGCGCGUAGGCGGCUCAUGAAGGCUGUGGUGAAAGUCCGGGGCUCAACCUCGGAUCGGCCGUGGCGACUCGUGGGCUGGAGCACUGUAGAGGCGGGUGGAAUUCCGGGUGUAGCGGUGGAAUGCGUAGAGAUCGGGAAGAACAUCAGUGGCGAAGGCGGCCUGCUGGGCUGUUGCUGACGCUCAUGCACGAAAGCGUGGGGAGCAAACAGG
rnacentral:rRNA from 1 species